GUAGCCCUUGGGCGAGAGAAAGCCGAAUUACGACGGCUGAAAGUUCAGCUGAUCAACGAGCAGCAGGCAGUCAAGGACGCCAAGACGGAGUCUGAGGUCUUGAGGAGGAGGCUUCGAGAGUCGGAGGAUGAGCACCGACGGUUCCACCGGAUGUUCUAGGAUAUGCUGCUGAAAAAGAUGAAUCUAGAAGAGGAAGUCGAAAAUUUAAGACAAUCCAUAGUAGGGGCC
rnacentral:lncRNA from 1 species